UUGAAGUUCAGGUAACACUGAAUGGAGGACCGAACCGACUUACGUUGAAAAGUGAGCGGAUGAACUGAGGGUAGCGGAGAAAUUCCAAUCGAACCUGGAGAUAGCUGGUUCUCUCCGAAAUAGCUUUAGGGCUAGCCUCAAGUGAUGAUUAUUGGAGGUAGAGCACUGUUUGGACGAGGGGCCCCUCUCGGGUUACCGAAUUCAGACAAACUCCGAAUGCCAAUUAAUUUAACUUGGGAGUCAGAACAUGGGUGAUAAGGUCCGUGUUCGAAAGGGAAACAGCCCAGACCACCAGCUAAGGUCCCAAAAUAUAUGUUAAGUGGAAAAGGAUGUGGCGUUGCCCAGACAACUAGGAUGUUGGCUUAGAAGCAGCCAUCAUUUAAAGAGUGCGUAAUAGCUCACUAGUCGAGUGACACUGCGCCGAAAAUGUACCGGGGCUAAACAUAUUACCGAAGCUGUGGAUUGUCCUUUGGACAAUGGUAGGAGAGCGUUCUAAGGGCGUUGAAGCAUGAUCGUAAGGACAUGUGGAGCGCUUAGAAGUGAGAAUGCCGGUGUGAGUAGCGAAAGACGGGUGAGAAUCCCGUCCACCGAUUGACUAAGGUUUCCAGAGGAAGGCUCGUCCGCUCUGGGUUAGUCGGGUCCUAAGCUGAGGCCGACAGGCGUAGGCGAUGGAUAACAGGUUGAUAUUCCUGUACCACCUAUAAUCGUUUUAAUCGAUGGGGGGACGCAGUAGGAUAGGCGAAGCGUGCGAUUGGAUUGCACGUCUAAGCAGUAAGGCUGAGUAUUAGGCAAAUCCGGUACUCGUUAAGGCUGAGCUGUGAUGGGGAGAAGACAUUGUGUCUUCGAGUCGUUGAUUUCACACUGCCGAGAAAAGCCUCUAGAUAGAAAAUAGGUGCCCGUACCGCAAACCGACACAGGUAGUCAAGAUGAGAAUUCUAAGGUGAGCGAGCGAACUCUCGUUAAGGAACUCGGCAAAAUGACCCCGUAACUUCGGGAGAAGGGGUGCUCUUUAGGGUUAACGCCCAGAAGAGCCGCAGUGAAUAGGCCCAAGCGACUGUUUAUCAAAAACACAGGUCUCUGCUAAACCGUAAGGUGAUGUAUAGGGGCUGACGCCUGCCCGGUGCUGGAAGGUUAAGAGGAGUGGUUAGCUUCUGCGAAGCUACGAAUCGAAGCCCCAGUAAACGGCGGCCGUAACUAUAACGGUCCUAAGGUAGCGAAAUUCCUUGUCGGGUAAGUUCCGACCCGCACGAAAGGCGUAACGAUUUGGGCACUGUCUCAACGAGAGACUCGGUGAAAUCAUAGUACCUGUGAAGAUGCAGGUUACCCGCGACAGGACGGAAAGACCCCGUGGAGCUUUACUGUAGCCUGAUAUUGAAAUUCGGCACAGCUUGUACAGGAUAGGUAGGAGCCUUUGAAACGUGAGCGCUAGCUUACGUGGAGG
rnacentral:rRNA from 1 species